rfam:Triticum aestivum genome assembly, contig: Triticum_aestivum_CS42_TGACv1_scaffold_640957_T_1AL-0.255762_2DL-0.200883
UAUAUACUCCCUCCGUCUGCAAAUACUUGUCAUCAAAAUAAAUAAAAAGGAUGUAUCUAGAUGUAUUUUAGUUCUAGAUACAUCUCUUUUUAUCCAUUUUGAUGACAAGUAUUUCCGGACAGAGGUAAUACUAU